CUUGGCCACCAGGUCUUUGUCUGCAAGGUGUCUCUCUACACAAACGUGGGUGGUAGUUGCUUCCUCCGAGGUGGGGUGAGCGGGAAAUGCCAGGGUCUUGGCAGAGUUUGGCAGGUUGUCCAUAAAAAUGCAGGGUCAGGGGGAUCAGACGGGGCAAGAGCUUGGCCAUGUCAUGCUCCCAUCUGCAUCAAGAACCAAGCAAGGCUCAAGUUUCUUCUUUGAAAGACUGAAGCCUGCUAAUUGCAGAGAGGCUUGUUCAGAGGAGGUGCAGCUCAUGUAGCCACUGUGGCUGCUGAUUCAGUACCUGCCCUGUGAAUAUAAUAGGAAGAUUUCUGUCUCCACCGCUGCCCAUCCAUCACCUUUCACAAGCCUAGGAGCAAAAGGAAGAAUAAGAGGAAUAACAAGAAAAUAAAGGAACACUGCAGCCAGAAAGCUA